GCCAGGUGCGGUGGUGCACGCCUGUAAUCCCAGUUGCUUAGGAGGCUGAGGCAGGAGGGUCCUGAGUUCAAAGCCAGCCUCAGCAACAGCGAGGCACUAAGCAACUCAAUGAGACCCUGUCUCUA
rnacentral:sRNA from 1 species